UAGAGAUAGAGCUAGAGAAGAGACGGAGAUUGAGUUGGAAAAGAGACGGAGAGUCAGAGAUUAAGCUGAAGAAGAGAUGGAGAUAGCAGAGAUAGAGAUAGAGCUGGAGUCUGGAGAAGAGAUGGAGACUAAGCUAGAGAAGAGACGCUGAUUAGGUUAGGGCAAGAAAGGAGAGACACAGAUGAAAGCCGAACUAAAUGCUGUUUAAAAAUCUGAAUUGGACUUAGCGUGCUCUACCUCUAAUUUCUCAUUUUUAUUAACUUUAGUUUUACUUUUUUUUGUUAUCUUAUUUCUGAACUUAACACUCUGAAAAAUCAAAAAUGAAAAAAAAAUCCUCCAAAAAAAAUAACCCGGUUGACCCAGUCAACCUACCGGGUUAAUUGGGUUAUAUCGGGUUGACCGGGUUACACCGGUUCAUUCCCUCAUCGGUUUAGGAGUAAACCCAGACCGGAUAAGGGACUGGGUCACCGGUUUUCGAGUUGACCUAGUCGGUCUAAUCCGGGUUUUAAUACCAUGAUCAUUACACACGAGCUCAAGAGGGUAGGCACAAAAAAAAUAAAUAAAUAACAAGGGUAGGCAAAAUUUUUGUUAAAGGGGAAAAAUAUCCAUAAAUUCUUCCUCUACAUAAGGUUUGGUUCAAAGGAGGGUAGGGAGGGGUUUAACUUUAAUGAACUCUCAUUUGAUUUGGAAGGAAGGAAGGAAAGAGGAGGGGAAGGGUUUUAACAAUUUUUGUUUGAUUCAAAAGGAGAAGGGAGGGAAGCUAAUUAUAAAAUAAUGUAUAUGCCUUUAUGUUAUUUUACUCCUUUUCUUUUAUUAAAAAAAGAUAUUUAUAUCAGAAUUUACUUUUAUUUUUGAAUCUAAAAAUCUUUUAUCUCAUCUAUUUAUGAUAUUCAACUAGAAAAUUGUUUAUGAUAAAUUCCGGUAAUAUUUUUAAUAAAAAAAGGUUAUUUGAUUAAUUUUAACAAAUUAUCUCAUUAAUUUUAAAUGUAUUUUUUUAGUAGAAAAAUUAUUAGGGCUGGAAUUGGAAACAUAUAUAUAGCAGCCCGUAAUAAAUAGUUAAUGGCACGUAGAAUUGGUGUUAUAUUUUUUAUUUAAUUGAAGCAAUGAUAUUUAGAAUAUAAUAAUAUUAAUAAGGAUUUUUUAAUCAUAAAAUUUGCCUUCCUUCUAAAUACCAAAUUUUGUAAUCAAACAACAUUUUUCCCUCACCUUCCCUCCCCUCACUUCUCCUCCAAAAACUCCCAACCAAGCCAAAUUCUAUGAACACCUAAUAUUAUUAAGUGAAGAAUAUAAAAGUACUCAUAAUAUUGACUUAACAGGUGCAACUGUGCAAAAAUCAUUGAAGAGGCAAAAUGCCUGUUAAAUGCAUCCACAGUCAUGGCCACAUGUCACCGAAUCAGCAUGGACUUUUCUCCCCUCUUCCACGAGUUGUCUCAUCUUUCCUCUCAUUCUCUCCCUUAAACACCCUCUCUCUACUAAAGCUAAGAAUAAGGUCGAGCUUGGAGAGUUGAGCAUAAAAAAUCUGUUUAAAUAAGGGUUUAAAUUUUAAAAAUAAAUUUUUUUAAAAUAAUUGGGUUUAAAGACUUAGUCCUGAUAAGCCCGGUAAAAAAAAAAAGCUCGGAACCCGAACGGCCCUUCAAGCCCUGUUAUAUUAUUAUUAUUAUUAUUAUUAUUAUUAUUAUUAUUAUUAUUAUUAUUUCUUUAGUGGAACACAUGUUUGAAGCCAAUGAUCUGCUCACCUGAUCCUACACGCAUUAUAUUAUUAUUAAUUUUAAUUUAUUCUAAAAUUAAUUUAAUAUAAUUUAAUAAAUAUUAGUGUAUAGCAUAAAAUUUAUGAUAUUUUUUUAUUUUUAUAUAAUUAUUAUGUUUGUGUAUUUGUAAAAAAUAUACUAUUUUUUAACUAAGAUUUAAAUUUUAUUACUAAACUUCUAAAUGUAUGCUGUUUAAUUUUUAAAAAAUUAUGAGGAUCUUAAUUUUUUUUAAUUUCAAAAUAUUUUAAUUAAUUUAUAAUGUUUAAUUUUAUUUUAAUUUUUUUAUUUUAAAAAAAAAGGCUUGUGGGCCGGCCCUGAGUGCUUCACAUAAGAGCCGGGUUUGAAAAAUAAGGUUCAAAAUGAAGAACCGAGCUUUAGGGCCCAGGUCUUUAAGGGUCAAGUCUGCUCGUAUUUCCAGCUUUACUCUCUACUUUUAUUAUCUCAUUCCCGCCACCCAUUCUCUCUCUCUCUCUCUCUCACUUCCAUCAUUUUCUUCACUUCCUGCAGCCAUUAACAGAAAAUCUAACACCUUGAUAAAAUGAAAAUAACAUGAAAAGGAUGCUUGAUAUAAAACUUAUGCUCAAAGGGAUGAGAAAUUAUUUUAUGAGAGAAGUAAUGAGACUUUUAGACCCAAGAUUUGUCAAAGGCAGCGGAAGUGAUGGCUCGAGAGAAUUUUUGAAAGUUGCUGAAUUUGGCCAUGGAAUGUGCAAGCUCGGUGACAAUGAUGUAGCUAUUGCUGUUGCAGCCAAACAUCCGAAAGAUCUGGCAGAGCUGAUCCUCCAAGUAAGGGUUGCGAGCGUGGAUGAGAUCCAAGUCGACCUUGCCAAAGAACCAGGAGAACUCCACCAUGCCUAUGCUGCUCUUGUCCGCCUUCUGAAUCAAAGCCUCGAGCUGGUCUUGCUUGGCUUCAACCUUGAUCUCCUUCACUAAUGUGAGAGCAGCGAUUGAGAAAAUGAGCAGAAAAGCGAUGAAGAGAAGAAAGCAGCUCUUCAGAUACAGUUCUUCAGCUACUUGUAUUCGUUUAGAUGGAUGGAGGUGCAUGUUCUACGGCACAGGACAUGUUACUAAACUUGCAAAGAGCUAAAGAGCCCCAAGAUCUCCGAGACACCUCAAACAAACUCUUUCUGCUGCAUGGAAAGCUAAGCAGCCAUUUUGUCAUAUCAACUACUCACAUACGAUGCCAUGUUUCCUGGACGAAUUCUAUUGGGCAAAGGCCUGGCAAUAAGCCCAUCGGUGACCCAACCUACCGUUUCCCCAUCGUUUCUGACAUGGUUGAAUUCCCGUUCCACGUAAUCUAGAGACAACUGCAGCCUCCCCCCAGGUUUAGAGUCAUCAACAGUUCCUCUUCCUUCAAUUCCUGCAUUCUUCUCUAACCAAUAGAGGUAACUGACCUGGAACAAUGCCUUGAGCAUAUCCUGUGGCGAACAAUUUUCUUUGAGCACAACCUGUACCAGGCAAAUAUGCCAUUUAAGAUCCAUGCAACAAAGUAGAAAGAAAUAUCAGACCAUGUGUAAGCUCAGAAGUGCCUCACUUUUUGCAAGACAUCAAUAAAAUGAUGAAAGUUCACAAACCACCUAAA